CGGUGACAUCAGAGCUUGCUCUGGUUGAUCAGUGGCGAACGGGUGAGUAACACGUGAGUAACCUGCCCUUGACUCUGGGAUAACUCCGGGAAACCGGGGCUAAUACCGGAUACGAGACGCGACCGCAUGGUCGGCGUCUGGAAAGUUUUUCGGUCAAGGAUGGACUCGCGGCCUAUCAGCUUGUUGGUGAGGUAAUGGCUCACCAAGGCGUCGACGGGUAGCCGGCCUGAGAGGGCGACCGGCCACACUGGGACUGAGACACGGCCCAGACUCCUACGGGAGGCAGCAGUGGGGAAUAUUGCACAAUGGGCGAAAGCCUGAUGCAGCGACGCCGCGUGAGGGAUGAAGGCCUUCGGGUUGUAAACCUCUUUCAGUAGGGAAGAAGCGAAAGUGACGGUACCUGCAGAAGAAGCGCCGGCUAACUACGUGCCAGC
rnacentral:rRNA from 1 species